UCAUAGACCCCUCGAGGGCUGUCAAGUACCAGAUUAACAGUUGUUCCUUCCACGGGAGGCAUCAGAAUCAUAGGUUCCUGCAACUUAUUCUUUUAUCUUUCAAUGCCCCUUGGCAAUCAUUAUCCUACCUGACCGUUUGAUCUCUCUUUUUUUGUUUUUGGUUCAGGCAUUUUUGUAUUGCUUUUUUCUUUUUCUUUUCUUUCUUUUUCUUUUCU
rnacentral:lncRNA from 1 species